rnacentral:lncRNA from 1 species
GUCUCUUUAUGUUUUUGUUCGGCAUGUUUUCUAUUUCUCCUUGUUGCUUCUGUUGGCGUUGUCACUUUUGGGCAACGUCUUGUAUGGGACACUGGUUGAUUAUUUAUCUAUAGGUUGGGGGUCUGCCUAACCCCCACCCCUUCGAGUAGUGUUUUUUUUUUUUUUAAAAGUAAACAUUAUUAACAAAAUAGUAUAAAUAAGAAAAGGAUUGAAAAACAGAGAAAAUUUUUGAACGAUUAGAACUUUUAUAUUUGUAUUACCUAUCUCAAAAAUAAAAUUAUAAAGUCAUUACUAC